UACUGGUUGGCCUUCCUGAAGAAGUGC
rnacentral:sRNA from 1 species